UCUGCCUGCCGCUCAGAUCUCAGUAGUACCACAAGUAGAGCGUAUUUACUUUUCACCCAAAUACGUGCUCUGUACACUCCGUCAGAUCGAUGGGAUCUGCAGGUUAGCUUGUUCUAGCUUGCUUCAAAAUGGAAAUCGGUAGCUUGCUCCUCUUUCCUCUUUGCCUUCUUUUUUCCUCCUUAUCUUGUUCCUCACCCUGAGCUAAACUGAGCUGAGCCGCCCCAGCUCAUCUAGGUAAGGCCGGUGGAUCUCUCAGUCUCCUUUUUUUGCACGUACGUAGAUAUAAUAUAUCUCUGGGCAGCUGAGAGGUCCAUUGUUUGUUCAUCUGGUUCUACGAAGAACCUGCUUCUGUAUGCUUUUUUUUUCCCGCAGGGAUCUACAUGUAUAUUAGUACCACUUAUGAUGGCGAUUUCUCUUAUUAUCCUGUGACCAACUGGCCAUAUACUGCAUCUCAUUCCAUACUAAGUCGCUAGCUGAUUCCCUAUUUCCUUGGCAUCUGAUUUAGCAAAGGUUUUUGUGCCAUGCCCCCUCCUAGAUCUGCUUCUUCUUCCUCCUCCCCAAAUGCUCAUACUACCGGGACGGAUUCCCAGCCGGUUGCGGGAACGACCACGUUAUAAGCGUAGAUCCAUGAUACAUAAUACCUCUUCUAAUCAACCGAUGCUGUAGAUGACCAUGAGGGGCGACUCAGAUGAGCACUACUACUACUACUAUAGUUUUUGAACCGCAGAAAAUAGAUGAGUACCACUAUCACAUGAAAGUUUAACCUUGAUUUCUAAUAUACUCCAUUGUUUUAAGUUUUUUUCUCUCCGAUCUAGCUCUGACCUGUACUCUGGCUUAUUUGAUACUUCCUUCAUUCCGUAUUACUUGCCGCUGAUGUAGUACAAACCUACUAAAUAAGCAACAAGUAAUAUAGAAUGGAACGGAGGAGUAGUUUAUUUUACCAUCUUGUAGAUUCAUGACGGCCACCCUGCUCAUGGGCGAUGCGUGAUUGUGCGCACUCGGAUGGAUCUGGCUCUUCCUUACAAGUUACAUUGCCACCAGAUAGGGAAAUAUCGAUGUGAAGCUAUUAACGAUCCAUGGAAAGAAGAAAAUAGGCGGAAAUCGGAAAAGGUACAUAUCUAAACUCAAAAUAGGAGUAAAUGCUCGCAGGCUACGCUGAAGCAAAAGUACAAACAAUCAUCCUCCCAUUAGAAUCACUCAACAACAAUGCAUAUCUUGUAAAUUGUUAGUUGGGGGAAGAUGGUCAGGUUGUAGCAACAUUGUUAAAUAGAACACUUCAAUUCUAAUGAUUUGGAUCUGAUCUAGCAUUAUGCUGGAGAGGUGUCAGGUGAUGCUAAAUUCAGUGUUCCAGAUGCAAGAGUUGUGCAAGAACGUGUAUAAUGAAAACGUAAGUUCUAUUUCCUAGAAAAUCUUUGAUUACUAAAUGCCUGUUUCAGUAGGAAACUCUGGUGUCAUAUUCAGGAUUUUGUUAUACAAGUAUCCUUGUUAACACAAAAUUAUGCAUAAAAAGACAUGUAAUUAAGUAGAACAUAUAAUAGCUGGAAACUAUGAUAUAUAAUUAAGUAGAAUAGAUAACAGUUUUGAUACGAAAUUAUGCACAACUAAGAUAUAUAAUUUAGUAAAACAUAUAUAUAGUUUUACGGGGAAAGUAAGACACAUAACUACUCAUCUGUUGUCAUGCUUCAUGAAGAUUAAUGGUGAGUUUUGUUUUUUGUUUUUUUGUGAUGGUGAACAGUGUCAUCAUCUUUGGUUUACAUGUAUAAGCGUCAUCAUGUAUUUGGUUGGUAACUCUUGGAAGGGUUAUCAUGUUUACAUACAUGAGAAAAAUUGGGCAAAUAAAAUACCCCCAAACUCUUUUCACCUGACCAAAAUGAAGAGGAUAGAAUCUGUUUUUGCUCAUGUGGAACUAUGGUAGUGACAACGAAAAAUCCCAGAGUGGCUAGGCACGUCAGCAACUCGGCAUGUUAACAAUAUAAACACCAAUCUGAGAGGGGUCCUAGAUGGACAAGUUACUUCGGCAGUGAAACAAAACAAAAAUCCUAAGUAGACAAGGUACCUAGGCGAUGAAACAAAACAAACAAAUUAUGCUAUUCACACUAUGCCCAAUAAUCAUUUUUGUCAAGUUAUAAUUGACAUUUCUACCUCGUCUCUCACACCUGUCCGCAUUUUACUCUAUAACAUUCCAUUUAUUUCAGCCUGCAAAUUCACAAGGCUGAAACAAAUACAAUAUCAACUGUGAAGGACAUACACUAGUUUCAUGCUAAACUCAGGCAUUAUCAGCUUAAUGCUUCCACUUUUAGGUUAACCAAUACACGCAUAAGCUAUCCCCUAUUUAGAAGCAACAGUUAAUAAUAUGUUAAAUUGGGAUGUGCUUAAACAGCUUCUAAUACAUAUUUUUACUAUUAAAUUGCAAUCGGUGGUGUCAGUAGGUAGAAAACCCGUUUGGUACAUCCAAAAUCCAAGCUUCAUGCCUCAAAAAGCCGGAAGCUAUCACUCGCCAAAAAACCCGAAAACCAGCGUGAUAUAGCGAUCCGCACCAAAAAACUGGAAAACCAACACGAUAUAGCGAUCCCGCGUCAAAAAACCGGUUGAACCACAUCGAUCGUCGCACAUAAAAAAACCGCUUGCUAAAGUUACAGGCUUUGCCACCGCCAAGUGAAACGUAUCGUUUCGCUGUUCUGUUCUGUGGAAAAGAAGAAAAAAACGUUCAUCUCGCAACUGCUCCAGAUCUGGGGCACAACAUGGCCGAUGCAGGGAUUGAUCUCAAUCCGGCUAUGGCUCAAGCUGGAGCACCAGGGCUGGAGUCAGUGCUCCUUCCGCCUUCGCGUAGAUCACCCCUCUUGUUAUCCGCUUUGUAGGAGGUACCCUCUGGUUCCUUAUUCUAAAUUGUGGUAUUUUUGUUGUAGAAUUGUCAAAAAACUUCUGAAACUUAAGAUAUUAUUUAGACCCUGAAGAAGAUUGUUUUUUGGUAACUAUAUAUAUUGUUUUUGUUAGUGUUAGACCCUGAAGAAGAUUGAACUGACGAGAGGUGUUGCUUAAGAUAUUAUUUAGAUGCUAGUUCCUUAAUCUAUUAUUAGGUCGCACUGUCCGAACUACUAAAGGAGUAAACUAUUUUAGAAAAGGUUAACAAAAAUAAAUUAGUUGGUACUUACUCUUGGUAAGGAAAAAAGAGCAGACAUGGGUACAAAUUAAUCUUAACACUCUUAAACAAACAUGAAAUAAAAACUAAUCAUUAAUAGGCGCGUACAUAUCAAUUAUUGACCCAUUGCAAGCGCACGGGCACUUAGCUAGCACCAAAAUAAUAUGCAAAUGCAAGUGACAGUAAGAGACAUCCCUAGACCUUGAUUAUUAUGUUUGUCUAAUUUGAUACAUAGGAAUAUCCACUAUAAGUAAAUUCUAUACUUUUUUACCAGGGACGUAAGAUAUACAGCAUAAUUACUCUUCCCUAGUGAUUUUCAAUGAAGCAUCAUGGUGAUUUUUUGGCUUUUCUUUUGCAAGGGUGACCAGUGUCAUUUUGGCUGACAUGCAUAAGCGUCGUCACCUAUUUUGCUGUUAACUCUUUGAAGGGAUAUAAUGUCUACAGGCUUGAGAAAAAAUGGGCAAACAAGAUAACCCCAAAACUCUCUUCACCUGACCGAAAUGAAGAGGACAUUUUCGGUCAUGUGGAACUAUGGUAGUGAUAAAAAAAGAGCACAUGCUUGCGGGCUGUACUGAAGCACAAGUAGAAACAAUCAUCCUCACAUUAGAAUCACUCAACAGCAAUGCAGACCUCGCAUUAGAAUCACUCGACAGCAAUGCAGAGAUCUUGUGAAUUGUCAGUUCGCGGAAGAUUAUCAGGCUGUAUGGCUUUGUUAAAUAAAAACAUUUUGAUUCUAAAUUUCAACCAGGUAUGAUUUGGAUCUGCUAUAAUAUUACGUUAGAGAAGUGCCAUGUGAUGUUAAAUUCACUGCUCCGAAUGCAAGAUCUCUCCAAGAAUGUGUAAUGAGAAUGUAAGUCCACUUUCCUAGAGAACCUUUGACUACUAAAUGCCUAUUUCAGAAGGAAACUCAGAUGUAUAUCAUGCAGCAUUUUUUUUAAUGCAAAUCUUGUAACACUCUUUUUGUAA